rnacentral:lncRNA from 10 species
CAGGUAUGAACAAGCAGAAACCCUGGGAGAGGUUGGCAGACAGGGAAGCACUUAGAUCAAACUGGCCUCAUCCCAUGAGGAAAAGUGCUCUGCUGUGUCCAGGUCCAGCAACUAAAAGAGUCCAAAGCUGCCUUGAAGUGUAUGGUGAGCCUUGGAGAAUGGUCCCCUAUCACCAUGUUCCACUGCAGUCAUUCCAGAGCCAAACCCUUUGGGCUACACAGAGGCUGAAAUUUUAUCUCUGCCAACUCUUUGGGCUGUUCUGCCUGAAAGCUCAGAUGUCUGGUCUGUUUGUGGGAGUCUCCUGCAGCUAGGAUCCCAAAGGCCCAAGGUCCUUUAACAUCUUUCAUCACUUGAUUCUUGUUCUUCAAAAUUGUCGCCAUGGUGGAAUAGCACAUGUCUGACUGUGUUGGAUGCUUCCUGCUGUCGAACAUCAGACUCCCAAGUUCUGCAGCUUUUGGACUCUUGGUCUUACACCAGUGAUUCACCAGGGGCUUUCAGGCCUUCAGCCACAGACUGAAGGCUGCACUCUUGGCUUUCCUACUUUUGAGGUUUUGGUACUCGCACUGGCUUCCUGAUUCCUCAGUUUGCAGACAGCCUAUUGUGGGACUUCACCUUGGGAUCAUAUGAGUCAAUAAUCCUAAUAUAUGCCCCUUCAUAUAUUCAUCUAUCCAAUUAUUUCUGUCCCCUUUAAGAACCCUGACUAAUACACACAUAUAAAUGACACUGUAUAGUAUUUGUCCUUCUCUGACUGGCUUAUUUCAUUUAACAUAAUGCCCUCUAUUUUCACACAUAUCAUCACAAAUGCCAGG